GCACACACCCUCCCUCGUCCCCCCUCCCAGCCCAGCCUCCCCGAGAGGCCAACGGUGGGGGGGGUGGAAGAGAGAGGGCAAUCUUCCCCACUAACCAAAUUUCAUCCCGUGACGUUUCAGAGGCAGAGUGAGACACAGCCCUCCUCGCAGGCAGACACCGGCUCCCGUUUGGGGAAUCUGCCCCCCGAGACACGUGUCCAGCUCCUUAGGGAAAGAGUCGUGAUAAAAGCUUGGACUUUCUCAGAUUCCACUUCCCUCCGGAGGGCCGCCCGGAGCUCUCCCUGUCCGGCUCGGGGACGGGGGUCUGCGGAAACAGAAGCAGGGGGAAGAUCUCCGGCUGAAAAUCCGGAAGCUUCUCCAGCAUAUCCUAGGGGCUCCUUCACAGAAAGAAGGUACUUUUGAACCCUGGUAAUUCCCAGACUUUCCUAAACACUUAGGUUUGUCCCCCAAAAGACAGACACCGAGCUCAGGAGCAUCACGGGGGUCUCGCAGCCGGGUUUUUGGCACAAAGCAAGUUCACAGGGCGGACCCCAAGGUGGUACACAGAGUGUGUGUUAGGAGACAUCGCCCGCUUUUAAGCUUUUUAAAGCUUUUUUUAAAACUUCUUGUUCUCCUCAGUUUCUGCAUCUGUCCAAUGGGCAUUCAGACUCGUUGGCUUAAUGGAAGAAGCCGUGUUUGCAUUCCUCUUCUGAGGCCGAACCCCCAGAUGCUCUGGCAGAUUCCACGUGGAGUCUGAGCAGACAUGAGUACGGCUGGGAAAGGGACGGGGCAGGCACAGGAUUUCUGCCCGAAGGUUCUCCUGUCCACCGAGCUGUGUUCCAGUGAGGAUGUCCUGCUUUUCUCGUACUUCUGUGUGUUUCUGUUUCCUCCUUUGUCCUAGUGAGCGUUAUUUAAAAAAAAAAAAAAUCUUUUUGGUCAUAUGGAACUGUCCUUUUUUAGGGGAGGGGGGGAGUACUAAAAUGAUACUGAGUAACAGGAAGUUAAUCUCCUUCGUCUGGUAAUGCAGGCUUCUAGUAAGUUAAUUGGAUUUUCUACCUAAACGUGGAUAAAGUCAUUUACGCAGCAACAUUUCUCCAGAUGAGAUCGCUCGCUUAGAAUGCAGCGUGGCUCUGGUCUUCGGGCUCUCGGGCAUGAAUUGUGACGCUUGUCUGUAAACCUCGUUCCCUUGGACACGUCCUUACAGGUAAAUAAAUCAGCAAAGGAACGAUUAGUUCCUAGGCCC
rnacentral:lncRNA from 1 species